CGGGAGGGGCUUACAACAUCCCUCAGAGACAGGCAGGGUGUCAGGUUAUCACCUAACACUGCAGAACUAACCACCCAAAACACAUUUACUUUGCCUGGGAAUGUGCAGAGUGAGCAGGGCUCAGCAGGGCCAGCUUGUCUCUGCUCCACUGGGCAUCAGCUCGAAGGCCGAGUUCAGUCAUCAUGUAGGGCCACUCACGUGCCUGGUUCUGGCCUGGUAAGAGCCAACGGCUGGGGGCAGGAACAGCUGGGACUCCUCACACACACCUUUCUCCAUGGCAGCUGCUGGCAUGUAAAAAGCUACAAGCGGCCACUCCUAACAACAGGUAAAGAGCUGCAAACACUGAACACUCAACAAUCCUUCCUAGAUCCUUCAGAGGUGGGGUCACCGAGCAAACCAUGGCCCCCAGAACCAGAGAGACAGACAGGUGCCACCAUGGUGCUGGGUCAACAGGACAUCACAUGGAAGCAAAGGAGGAGUCCCCUUCCUGUUCCCCAUGUGGAUGGCCUCCUGGGGCCUGAAAGGAGAAAACCAGAACCCUCAAAGCAGCCACCGGUCUCCUCAUGCCCGGGAGCAGACUGGCCAGGGUCCCAGGGCAGCCACACCACAGAACAAGAGUCCUCUUGGCCUUGAUACAGCGAGGGGUAGUAUGGUGGGUCCCGGCCCUCCUUUCCUUCCAAUCACACGUGAGGGAGGAAUGUGAACAUUGCCAGCCCGCAGGGGAAAGAGGGGUUGAAAAGUCCUUUGGCUCUGCAAUAAAUAACCCCCACUCAUCCUUGCUGUCGAGAAGCCUGUGUGUAGUAGAAAACAGAGAGGCUUUAUACAUGGAAACUUGUGGUACAGUCCCUGGCACCGGCCACAUGACCUUCAGCAGGUCCCACUCUGGCCGUGUCUCCUGAUCUGUACUUAGGGCUGGAGUGAAGUGGAAUAUCCCACAUUUGCAGGAUGGAAAGGGAAGGGUCCCCUAAACAGACUCUCUGGGUGAUACUGACAGCGAGUUUCUUUGGUAUUCCUACGGGAAUCCUUUUAGGUGAGUAGCCUUGCCCAGAAGUUUUCUUUUCCUCUUUUAUUCAUUUGGAGAGGUGAUGGUGCUGAAGAAGGGGAACCUCCAGGGCAAGAAGAGUUUGGCUAAGGGGUAGGGAGAACGUGGCACCAGGGACGGAUUUCACCCCAUUUCGUCCCCUGGGCUAGUUUUUGAGGCUGUUACAGGGUUACAGAGGGUUACAGAAGGGUUACAGACAAAAACUGAAAGAGUUUUGUUUCUUUUUCUCUUCCUGAAAUAACGAGCUUUAUGACAGCUUGGACAUCAGCUGCUUCUUACCUUAAGGCCCAGGUGACAAAAUGUGGUGCAAAUUGGAAGGAGAGAGGACCUCGAUGUGUGGCCCAGCCCCGAGGUGGUGCCUCAAGUGUUCUCCCGCUUUGGGACACCUGAGCAGCGGAAGCGGAAGGAGCAAGUGACAAAGGUGCUAGAAGGCGGGUCAGAUGCCCACUGGGCCUGCCGGGAGAGAAAGCAGCAGUACCUAGCAGGUGCGACCCACGCUCGAGCACACCUCAGACACAGUGGGGGUGGGGUGACGCCGUGCUGCCCGGAAGUCCUGCCGUGGUGUGGAGCCGUGAAGUUCUCGUCUGUGCCAUAGGGUGGUGGGAGUGGAGUGUUCCCACGGGGAACACUGACAGAAGUUUUAAAAAGGGAUGUGCAGAGGCUCCUGCGUGGCUCAUUCGACCGACCAUCCGACUUGGGCUCAGGUCACGAUCUCACAGUUCAUGAGUCCAAGCCCCACAUGGGGCUCUGCUGUGACAGCGCUGUCUCCCUCACUGUGUCUGCCCCUCCCCACCUCCUCAAAAAAUAAACAUUUAAAAAAGAAGGAAAGAAAGGGAUAUGCAGAGAGCAAGUGAAGCUGUAAAAAGCAAGAGAGUAAAAUCUCACAUUCAGUUGGGAAACUGAUGUGGAACUAGGCCUUGAAUGACCAGGACGCCUGAGA